GUAGGUGGCAAGCGUUGUCCGGAAUUAUUGGGCGUAAAGCGCGCGCAGGCGGGGUCCUUUAAGUCUGAUGUGAAAGCCCACGGGCUCAACCGUGGAGGGUCAUUGGAAACUGGGGGACUUGAGUACAGAAGAGGAAAGCGGAAUUCCAAGUGUAGCGGUGAAAUGCGUAGAGAUUUGGAGGAACACCAGUGGCGAAGGCGGCUUUCUGGUCUGUAACUGACGCUGAGGCGCGAAAGCGUGGGGAGCAAACAGGAUUAGAUACCCUGGUAGUCCACGCCGUAAACGAUGAGUGCUAAGUGUUAGGGGUUUCCGCCCCUUAGUGCUGCAGCUAACGCAUUAAGCACUCCGCCUGGGGAGUACGGCCGCAAAGGCUG
rnacentral:rRNA from 1 species